GCCACUUUGGUUCAGUGGUUAGAAUGCCCAGACCGAUUUAGGGGGGAGACCGUGGGUUCGAUUCCCCGUGGUGGCG